UGUAAUAGAGAAGAAGAAAACCAGUUACAGUCCGACAUUUGGUCUAGACUGGGAAAGAACAGAUUUCGAAGGGUUCAGACGAUCCAGUGCUCUACCAUUUUUUAAGCUGUAAACUAAAGUAAAAUCAUUAGUGCUGCAAAAAUCCUGUUUCCAACACAUUCCCCAUCCAGGCCACCAUGAGGAAGUCCUAUUUCAAAGAAUCACAGGAUUUGAGAGAUGCAAAAGAGUUUCCCCAGAGAGAAUUUAUUUCCCAAGCACCCUUGCCACUCACACAAACCCUCUCUGAUGGGAAACGACAACGAUGACAAAAACCCCAAAAAAUAAAAAGAGAAAAACAAGA